rnacentral:rRNA from 1 species
AGAGUUUGAUCCUGGCUCAGGACGAACGCUGGCGGCGUGCCUAACACAUGCAAGUCGAGCGAGGAAGAGGAGAUAGCUUGCUAACUCCUGUUUCUAGCGGCGGACGGGUGAGUAACGCGUGAGCAACCUGCCUUUAUCAGGGGGAUAACGCAUCGAAAGAUGUGCUAAUACCGCGUAAGACCACAGCCUCACAUGGGGCAGGGGUCAAAGGAGCAAUCCGGAUAAAGAUGGGCUCGCGUCCGAUUAGCUAGUUGGUGAGAUAACAGCCCACCAAGGCGACGAUCGGUAGCCGACCUGAGAGGGUGAUCGGCCACAUUGGAACUGAGAGACGGUCCAGACUCCUACGGGAGGCAGCAGUGGGGAAUAUUGGGCAAUGGGCGAAAGCCUGACCCAGCAACGCCGCGUGAGGGAAGAAGGGUUUCGGCUCGUAAACCUCUGUCCUAUGGGACGAAGGAAGUGACGGUACCAUAGGAGGAAGCCCCGGCUAACUACGUGCCAGCAGCCGCGGUAAUACGUAGGGGGCGAGCGUUGUCCGGAAUGAUUGGGCGUAAAGGGCGCGUAGGCGGCCUGCUAAGUCUGAAGUGAAAGUCCUGCUUUCAAGGUGGGAAGUGCUUUGGAUACUGGUGGGCUGGAGUGCAGGAGAGGAAAGCGGAAUUACCGGUGUAGCGGUGAAAUGCGUAGAGAUCGGUAGGAACACCAGUGGCGAAGGCGGCUUUCUGGACUGAAACUGACGCUGAGGCGCGAAAGCGUGGGGAGCAAACAGGAUUAGAUACCCUGGUAGUCCACGCG